CCCCCGCUUUCUUAGUAAUGGCGAUACUUUCCCUCGUCUCCUCCUCUUCUUCUCGCCGCUUGUUGAGAUACCGCUCCAUUAACGACCUCAUACGAUCAUAUUCAUCGGCGUUGUGGGUUAUAUAACGCUUCAGUUAUUCAUUGUAGGGUGCGCGUGGCUUAUACUUAAUAUUCAGCAAAAGAGAAAGCAGAGGAGAAAAAACAACAUCAAUGAGGGGAGCCGCCAAAUUGCCUGUGCAGAAUAUAAUCAAGCAAAUCUGCCCCAGGACUGGAACAUGCAGGGUGAUGACCGUCUCGACCCCGCAAAGACAUGAAAGGAAUGAGCUUCGGGAAGUAGAUUGCAUAAAAAAUGAACACGUCGAACAACUAGUAGCCUUCGACAAGCCACGGAUGCCGCCUGUUCUCGGUCCCCUGAUUAUUUACUCAUUGCUGGAGAUGUCAAGUAAUAGUCGAGAUGAUAAGUAACUUAAACUGGAUAUGGACACGCAGAACUUAGUACUCGAGCUGCACCAUGGAUUGUAUGAUAGAUAAUUGCAUCGGUCAUAUUGAAAAAAUCGGAGUUGUUGUCGCUGUUAGAGUGUUACUCAUAGUUUACUUGGUUUGGA